CUGUGCAGACCUGUGUCCUUAGAAUACAGAGCAGGGGGGAGGGAAGGUGGGGGGCUGUGUAUUCAGCUGGAUGAGAUGAGGGGGCGUGGCUUAUUCCUCUCAUGCAGACAGAGAAAAAAAAAACUGUGACAUCUUGUCCACCACAGACUCAGAACUGUGGACAACAGUAAAAGAAACCCCUCUGAACUACAGAACUUCUCGCCCAACAAACAGCAUCGGUGACGUCACUUUUCAUUUACUGAAGUCGCCGCACUCUGAACUCUGACUCACGGAGGCUGCAGGAAAUGAAAAGUGAUGUCACUGAUGCUGCGCAGAGGAGCCGGGAGAGGACGUCCUUCAUCUGCUUCAUGACCACACAGCCCGCAAGACCCGCCGUCUGACCUGGCCUGCCGAAUCGCAGCGAGAAAUCUGGACUUACUGACGAUUGCCUACAAAGCCUUCCCAAUGAUGACAAGAUGACAUUAGUGCUCUGUUGUUAUUGAGCCCCUGAGAGUCCCCUCCAUUACAGGGGGCAUGAUUUAUCAUGGCACAUGCCCUUGUGGAUUAAUAUACAUCGGGAUGACCACCAGAGAUUUAAAACGACGUGUGAGAGAGCAUAUUCUCGGAAUUAUCGCAGCCGAGGAUGAACAAGACCUCGCAAAUCUUACCACCUUUCCCAGGCAUUUUAAACAACAUCAUAACUGCAAUCCAGAGGGUUUCAUGGUGGCAAGUUGUGACUCUUCCUGUUGUUGACUAUACCGCUCGGUGAUGUGGAUUCAGGAAUUAGAUUUGUUGCAUUCCUUGAGUGUAAUAUUUAGGGAUGUGCGACCAUGCACCUGAUGGCUAUGUACAUACACUUUUUUGAACCUUGGUGAUGGUCUGUCCAUCAGUGUGCAUGCGCUUGCGCUGGUGUUGCCGUGACACCCGUUUAUAUACCCCAUACGGUAAGCUGCGACUAGCGGUGUCUAACGCCGCCGAUUACCAUCGGCUGCAGCAGGAAAAGAGCGAUCCGGACCUCCACAUCUGGUCACAUGACCUCCACUUCCUGUUGAGAGUGCCGACAUUCGGCUGCACUCAUUGGAGCGCACCCGACCACCGGGAGCAUGUCAUAAACACAGGCGUGCAUCAAAUUAAGCCACCACACCUCGCGCCAACAACAGGAAGGUCAAAGCUGCAGGUUAUUAUUCUCCCCAUUCGCCGUACUUGAUUCGCUGUCUGCUGCCAUAUAUACUGCCUCUAUUUACCCCUAAGACAUGCCCCCUGAGGAAGCCAGUAUAGCCAAAACGCAUUUGGGGUAGGAGGUGAACAGUGCCUGUCAGGUGCCUGGGUCAAGCUUGGUAUUAUUGCUUAUAAUGUGAUAUAUUUACUCUGCCAUUUGCUGUCUUGCACCUUAUAGCAGUGACAUCAUUUUUUCCAUAUCUAGCUAUUUGCUUAUACCACUGUGAUAUCUAGCUAUCAGUUUACAUUAUUACUGUAUCCAGUUAUAUGUUUGCACUAUUAUUGCACAAUUGCACUACGACACCUACACAUGUCAUGAUACUAUUUGAGUUAUUUCCUGUAGUGAAUGUCCUUCUGGUGAAGUGGUCCAUAUUUUGUGAUCACCACCCUUUAUAUUAAGAAUUUGUAUCCUGACAUUUUUACACUGUAGCACCCUCAUCUCCGUUUCUUCUGUCUGUUAAAAGACAUGUAAGGAAUGGGUACUACAGAUACUUCAAAUGUUUAUAGGUCUUUGUGAUAUCCUAAUAAAAUUUGCUUAUC